GGGCCACAAGGCGUAGCUGUGGAGACGAUGAGAACUCUGUGCUGCACAAGCCAGUCUGAGGGUCACAUCCGGGCAAGUUUUUCCAUCGGAGACAACGGCGGCCCUGUCUGUCCCCCGGGAAAGCAGGAAAUCGCAGCAGUGCCAUGGCCUCGAGCCUCGGCCCUCCUCCCGGUGCGUGACGUCACUUCAGGCUUCUUCCCUCCGCCUGCUGGAGUCUGAUCCAACACCCACACAGAAAUUCCUGAAGCCUCCAGUGUGCGGGGAGUCGAGGAGCCAGACCGCUCUUGGCUCAGGUGGAUGUGGCCCAAGUGAAGUCAGCUCAAGUCAAGCAGCUGCCCAGGGCAGGCAGGCCGCAGCUCAGUGCCAACGGGGGAGCCGACACCUCACUCCGUUCCUGUCUUCCCUACCCUCAGAGGCUUGGCCACCAUGUUACCCACCAUGGGCAUCUUCCACGGAAACACUUAAAUAUCUCAAUGGUUUAAGCAAAAAAGUAACACGAUAAAAAGGCAAAAGGCAAAUUGGGAGAUAAAAUUUACAGUGGACAAAACAAAGGUCCAGUUUCUUUCAUAUAUAAAGAGCUUAUAUAAAUCAGUAAGAAAUGGAUGAACCCAACAAAACAAAAAUGCAAAGACCAUAAGCAGGCCAGUCACCAAAGAAGAAGUUCAGUCAAAAAUCAUGUGGGGCGCCUGGGUGGCUCAGUUGGUUAAGCCACUGCCUUCGGCUCCCCCGA